AGGCGAAGUAUCUUGGGUUUCUUACAUGUGUGUUAUGAAGAUUGGGGAGUUGAUGAACUGAUUGUGGAAGAUUCCUGGAAGAAGCAAGUUGGCGGUGGGUGAUUGAUGGCGGAAACUAGAACUGACGAGUUUAGUCUGACGUUUAUACACUAAUUGCCGGAUGUCUAUGUAUCUCCGAUGCUUAUACUUUGAAUUCUGUACACAAAUUUUUGGAUGUCUCUGUUACUCUGUAUCAUUGAUGCUUAUACUUUGUUUUAGUUUAAUGUCAUCAUUAACAUUAUGGCUUGCAUUAAUUUUUUAUGGCAACAAUGUGAAAUAAUUCAGGCACUACUAUUGCAACCUU